rnacentral:rRNA from 1 species
CCUACGGGUGGCAGCAGUAGGGAAUUUUGCGCAAUGGGCGAAAGCCUGACGCAGCAACACCGCGUGAAUGUUAAGCCCUUCGGGGUGUAAAGUUCUGUCAAUAGGGACGAAUUUUGACUGUACCUAUAAAGGAAGCACCGGCUAACUCCGUGCCAGCAGCCGCGGUAAUACGGGGGGUGCAAGCGUUAUCCGGAUUUAUUGGGUUUAAAGGGUGCGCAGGCGGGCUGUUAAGUCAGCGGUCAAAGCCCGGGGCUCACCCCCGGCCCGCCGUUGAAACUGGCAGUCUCGAGUUGGAGAGAAGUAUGCGGAAUGCGCGGUGUAGCGGUGAAAUGCAUAGAUAUCGCGCAGAACUCCGAUUGCGAAGGCAGCAUGCCGGCUCCACACUGACGCUGAAGCACGAAAGCGUGGGUAUCGAACAGGAUUAGAUACCCGGGUAGUC